UGACGGUCUGUCUUCUCCAGGUUUCCCAUCAUAGACUGAACCUCCUGGAUUUGCCUGAUUCAGAAAAUAACAUUAAGUUAGCGAAGGGGGACCGACACAUGAAGCCAGAAAAUAUAACUCGACUAUUAAGUAGGUGUCAGAAUAUUCCUGUCUGUCCAUCCAGAGGCUUCCUUCUUGCCUGCGGUCAGAGUCACCAAAACUAAUGAUAUCAAACUUUUCUUGGGUGAGCCCUCGGGAAAGGAUGAGAUGAGCUUACUGGUUUUCCUCCACACCUGAGCACCACGGGCACAAACUGGAAUCCAGACUCCAGGUGAGAAUCCAUCAUUUCAACCCCACUGCCUGCUCAAUUGACCAUCACACAUGUAUACAGCGUCUCUACACCCGUGCGUCUCAUCACCCACCGUGAGGAGCUCAGCCACCAUCCCAGUCCACCCCAGCCUCUGAGCUAGGCCCCCCCAUAGAGAAGGCUCCCCCGGCCGUCCAGGCUGCAGUUCCAGCGCUCGUUCCUGAACUGAUACCGACACUCCAGGAGGCUGAGGCGCACCGACUCCCGCAGCGUCUCGGCCAAACCGGGCUCCCUGCGACACAGCCUCUUCUGUCGUCUGGUCAGGG